ACUCCUACGGGAGGCAGCAGUGGGGAAUUUUGGACAAUGGGGGCAACCCUGAUCCAGCCAUUCCGCGUGAGUGAAGAAGGCCUUCGGGUUGUAAAGCUCUUUCGGCAGGAACGAAACGGUGGUCCCUAAUACGGAUUGCUAAUGACGGUACCUGAAGAAGAAGCACCGGCUAACUACGUGCCAGCAGCCGCGGUAAU
rnacentral:rRNA from 1 species